UACGUAGGGUGCGAGCGUUAAUCGGAAUUACUGGGCGUAAAGCGUGCGUAGACGGUUUUGUAAGUCGGAUGUGAAAUCCCCGGGCUCAACCUGGGAAUUGCAUUCGAGACUGCAAGGCUUGGGUGCGGAAGAGGGAAGCGGAAUUUCCGGUGUAGCGGUGAAAUGCGUAGAUAUCGGAAGGAACAUCAGUGGCGAAAGCGGAUUCCUGGUCCAGAACCGACGUUCAGGCACGAAAGCGUGGGGAGCAAACAGG
rnacentral:rRNA from 1 species